UGAAUACGAGAUGCUACGGCGUCGAAGCAGUGUAUGUCAGACUUCCAAGAAAGCUCGCAAUGUCAUAAAUAAAGAAUGCCUGUACCAUAACCGACACAGGUGGGUAGGUAGAGUAUACUAAGGGGCGCGAGAUAACUCUCUCUAAGGAACUCGGCAAAAUAACUCCGUAACUUCGGGAGAAGGAGUGCCUUCUUUAAGAAGGUUGCAAUAACAAGAUCCAAGCAACUGUUUAUCAAAAACACAGGUCUCCGCUAAGUCGUAAGACGAUGUAUGGGGGCUGACGCCUGCCCAGUGCCAGAAGGUUAAAGAAGUUGGUUAGCUUUUGCGAAGCUGAUGACUGAAGCCCUGGUGAACGGCGGCCGUAACGAUAACGGUCCUAAGGUAGCGAAAUUCCUUGUCGGGUAAGUUCCGACCCGCACGAAAGGCGUAAUGAUUUGGAUACUGUCUCGGAGAGGGACUCGGUGAAAUAGACUUGUCUGUGAAGAUGCGGACUACCUGCACCAGGACAGAAAGACCCUAUGAAGCUUUACUGUAACUUGAAAUUGAAAUUGGACUUUAUUUGCGCAGUAUAGGUGGAAGGCGUUGAAAGUAAUCUUGCGGGAUUAGUGGAGCCAUCAGUGAGAUACCACUCCUAUAAUGUUAGAUUUCUAACUUUGGAUCAUGAUCUGGUCAAAGAACAGUUUCAGGCGGGCAGUUUGACUGGGGCGGUCGCCUCCCAAAUGGUAACGGAGGCGUACAAAGGUUUCCUCUGAACGGGUAGAAAUCGUAUCUAGAGUGUAAAGGCAUAAGGAAGCUUGACUGUGAGACCUACAAGUCGAGCAGGGACGAAAGUCGGUCUUAGUGAUCUGACGGUGCUGAGUGGAAAGGCCGUCACUCAACGGAUAAAAGUUACUCUAGGAUAACAGGCUGAUCUCCCCCAAGAGUUCACAUCGACGGGGAGGUUUGGCACCUUGAUGUCGGCUCAUCGCAUCCUGGGGCGGUAGUACGUCCCAAGGGUUGGGCUGUUCGCCCAUGAAAGCGGUACGCGAGCUGGGUUCAGAACGUCGUGAGACAGUUCGGUCCAUAUCCGGUGUAGGCGUUAGAAUAUUGAGAGGAGCCUUCUUUAGUACGAGAGGACCGAGAAGGACAUACCUCUGGUGUACCAGUUAUCGUGCCAACGGUAAACGCUGGGUAGCUAUGUAUGGAGAGGAUAACCGCUGAAAGCAUCUAAGUGGGAAGCCCACCUCAAGAUGAG
rnacentral:rRNA from 1 species